GAUUAUGGCUCAGGAUGAACGCUGGCGGCGUGCCUAACACAUGCAAGUCGAGCGAUUCGUCUUCGGAGAAGAGCGGCGGACGGGUGAGUAACGCGUGGGUAACCUGCCCUGUACACACGGAUAACAUACCGAAAGGUAUGCUAAUACGGGAUAAUAUAUUUUUGAUCGCAUGGUCGAAAUAUCAAAGCUCCGGCGGUACAGGAUGGACCCGCGUCUGAUUAGCUAGUUGGUGAGGUAAUGGCUCACCAAGGCGACGAUCAGUAGCCGACCUGAGAGGGUGAUCGGCCACAUUGGAACUGAGACACGGUCCAAACUCCUACGGGAGGCAGCAGUGGGGAAUAUUGCACAAUGGGCGAAAGCCUGAUGCAAGCAACGCCGCGUGAGCGAUGAAGGCCUUCGGGUCGUAAAGCUCUGUCCUCAAGGAAGAUAAUGACGGUACUUGAGGAGGAAGCCCCGGCUAACUACGUGCCAGCCGCAGC
rnacentral:rRNA from 1 species